GUUGAGAAUAUUUCAGAUUCUAAGGAGAAUACAGAAGCAUUACAAAAAUGUCAAAAAUGGAUAAUCCUCUACAACAUUUCGCCCCCACCCCCAACUUUUCCACCCAUGUAUGGUAUCUGCCAUAAAGGGCAUCCUCAAUACACAAGACUCCCCCGCCACUGUUGAAAUGUCCUCCCUUCAUGCUUCACUAUAUGUUCGCUUAGUAUUGCAAAAAUAGCUAUGUACAGUGUGUUUGCUAUCACAUAUGCAUGGUGCAUAAACUUAUUGAUAACUGAACAUGCAAAUGAGUGUUAGUAAUGUUCUCGAGCCUCCACCAGCUAAGUUCCACCGAUUUGCCAUUGAACAGAGAUCACAUUCACUCAUGUAUCACGAUAGAUAUGUUGCGGCAACCACUUGAGAUGCAAAUAUAAGCUUCCAGAUUUAGCUCCAUCAAGCUUAAACCCGUCCUUGUACUCACCUUCCAAAAUAACCUUUGUCAAAGUCAGGAUACAUCUUCCCAUGUAGUCCUUGCCAAAUGUGUCAUGAUCCCAUACUUCAAGAAUUAGCAUAUCAUGUAAUCCGUCCUCAACAACAAAGUCGAAAGUUUGAUUCCAAACAGGAUUCAAGCAAUCAUUCACAACCCUAGUUUUGUUUUUUGUUUCUGAUUUCUUCAUUGUGAGAACAACGUAGGGAUCAGCCUUGCCCAUCAAAUCUACCACUGGCAAAUCUUCAGCAGAUAUCACAGUCACGGAAAGAACUCCUCUAACUAUGACCUCCCUUCUCCUUUGUGUAAUUGCGUUUCCGUUUCCAGUGACUUCAAUCCCAUCCGCCCCACUUUUAAGAACCUUCUCCAAGGAGGUCAUUGAGAAGCUCGAAGCAAAUGGGUUUGUAAAGCCAUUCUCCAUACCAAAAGGACAGUACAAAAGCUCCAAGUGAACCUGGCCCCUGUUUUUAUUAUCCCUUUGGACCUCCAAAUCUUUAACCAGAUUCAACCAUACAUCUUUCACUUUACCAGGCUCAAGCUCACUUAGCUGCACUUGAGCACAUCCAAUGAGCUCAGAUGCCUGCAGCCCUUCAUCAUCAAAGAUCUUUACCACCAAGUGUUGAGUGGUUGCAUCUUCAACAAUAAAUUCAAAGUGCUCAUUCCAGAUUGGAUUCAGAUCAUUGUUAAUUAUUUUACUGGUUUUUGUUCUGUCACGUAGAGGACGUAUGUAUAAUUCAGCAUAGGGAUCUGAUUUCCCAAUGAUGUCUUUGUUUGUCAAAUCCUUUGCUUGCACAAGCUUUACUUCUAACAUCCCAACAGGCUUUAACUCCAGAUCACUGCGCAACAAAAUUUACUAGCUUUCUCAAGUAUUGUUAGAAAUAAAGAUCAUAGAAAAGCAACCUUAAACAACCCUACCCAACUCUCCCUGAGACCGUAACUGAUCAAAGGAGUAAAAACCACCACCACUUUUCUGAAAUGUCCAACUAAGUUAUUCAGAGAGAAAAUCAGAUUGGCCCUUUAAACGUGAGAAUGCAAUUAUCAGAGCUAUUUCUGAUAGCUUUCUAUAUUCAUUAGCCUGACUAUUAAUGUCCUUCUUUAGUAUUAACAAUAAGCUUUCAAAAGGGGAAAAUAAUCUUUUAAACUAAAAUAAAUCAGCUGAGAUACCUAUAGUCCCCAGGCAAAAUUGGAACAACUUUCCGAACAGGCCAGGUAAUCGAAUCUUCAAUAGCAUCACGUAUUGUCCCCUGUAUACGUAAAAAUGUCAUUUUAUUAAACAAAGGUCAUUUUAUCACCAAAGUCAGGAAUUCAGAUUUACCCUCCAAGCCCAUAUUGUAAACAAACAAGCAUACACGUUUUUCACAUACAAAGUCACAUACAGAAAAAUUACUAGACAAAUGCCAAUGCGCUUUUCACAUCACAUAUAAUUGACAUAUUAAGCUUCAUCAUCCAAUUUAUGAAAAAAUAACCGAAGUCCAAACCUUUUUUAAUUAUAAUAAUCAAUUCAUUUUGGUAAACCAAAUUUUAUGCAAAUUUCAUUAUAUGAAUAACCCAAGCUACCACAUGCCAGACGACUGGAACCACAGAAUGCUACAAAGAAAAGCUCAUCCAACAUCACGAGCAAGUUAUCUUUUAGAGCAACUUCAACACAAGAUCCUUUAACACUAUCCACCAAUUCAAAAUUGCAUUGAAUUUACAGAAUUAAUAUUAGGACAACGCUAUUCUGAGUCUCCUGAAUUCAGCAAGAAAUUCCCCAAGAAUUUGAGCAGACCACUCUGUUAAUGGUCCUCCAAUUACAAGUAAACGGACCCAAUACACAAAGUUUAUAUAUUGGGGUCAUAAUUUUAAUUCAAAAGAUAUGUAAACUCUCGAAUACCACCAUGAAUUCAUAGGCAUCUUACUCCACAAGUAGGAUCAUUGUACUCUAGUUUUUUUAAAUCCUCAAAAUCUACCGUUGAUAUUAGGCAGCAUAAGCCAUAAAGUUUUAGGUGAAAGGCUGUGAAACUGAAAAUUUGAAAAUCACAACAGAUGGAGAACUAUUCACUUUGCAAACUGUAAUAAAUGGCACAUAAAAAAAAAGUCAUAUUAGUUGAUACAGUGAUAACAAUGUAUUAUCAAAUAAUGAUGCCAAUAAAGACAAUUAUAGGUUGCACAAACCUCAAUAGCAUCAGAAAUUCCAGGAAUUGCUGAUAUGUCACCGCCAAUAACUUUUAGUGUAAAAUCCAACUUUUUCUGCAAGCCAAAAAUCCACAGCCCACUAAACAUACGAGUCAUUCAUCUAUCUGCAGCAUUGUGCCUACACAAGUGCAUGCAUGUGUGUGCGUGUGGGUGUGUGUGGGUGCCCGU
rnacentral:misc_RNA from 1 species